UAAUAUGGUCCCAUUUUGUUUAUUUUUUCUUGUGUCUCCUUUGACUGAGGAGAUAUAUCAGAAAAACGUGUUAUUAAGAACAUUUGUCCUGCGGAUGGACGGGUUCUCUUCCGAGAGACUACCGCUGUGGAAGGAAGCGUCUAUUUAGUUACGUCACCUGUGGUCCAGGCUUGGGAGCCUCAGAGGGUGUUCUCUGGAGGGGUUUAGCUGCUGCCAGGGCUGCUUUUCCUGAACACGCUGAAGGUAUUUGGAGUCCCCUAGAAAUGAAUAAAUUCGUCAUCCGAACACCUAGAAUCCAGAAUAGUCCUCAGAAGAAAGAUCUUGGAGAAAAUAUUUACAAGCAGGCCACGAUUGAAUCUCUGAAGAGAGUUGUGGUUGUAGAAGACAUAAAAAGUCGGAAAACUAUGUUGGAGCUUCCUGAUCAAAGAGAAUCUAAUUGAAACCUUAUGAAAAUUAAAGAAGAAAAUACCCUCCUGGGAAGUGUUAAAAUCAACAAGGAUAGGUCACACUGUGAACAAGAUGCGUAAACACUCAGAUUCAGAAAAGGCUUGUCUUGCCAAAGAAGUUGACACUGAAUGGAGAACUUUCAUUGAGAAAUAUUCAGAUAGACCUUCCAUUGAAGUCCGAAGUGAUCCCAAAACCGAAACAUUGAGGAAAAACGCCCAGAAAUUAAUCUCAGAAGCCUUGGAAUUAGAGAUGGAUCACCUACUGGUUGAAAAUAUCGAGCGGGAAAGGUUUCAUCUCUGCUCCUGCCUCAUUAAUCGGCCGCACUGGCGGACAGUGAGAGCCCUGGUCUUCACGUUAAAGCACCGAGCUGAAAUCCGGGCUCAGGUGAAGAACAGCUCACUGCCCAGCGGCACAUUUGUACAGACCUACAAAAAGUGACUUGAAGAUAGUUCCAACCCUUGGCUGGGCAGAAAGGAAAAUGUGCCCCUCACUGCCAUUCAAAGACUCUUGAGUUUGGGUGAUAGCUGAUGCUGGCUGUGCUAAAUUUUCCCAUGGUGCCGUUCCUUCAGACAGAGUCUGCAGAGAGCACUGGGAGACAGGCCUGCAGGAAAUGUGUCAUUAGCUGUAGCGCCUGAUGCUACCUAACAGGACAUGUGCUGGCUGUCACUAAGAAGCACUGCUGUACGGUUGCCAUCACUCAACAAGGCAAAAAGGUGACAGAUUUCACUGCAAGUACACGAAGGACACCUCUAAACUUCCCCCAUGUCAGGCAAAUGAAGUUACUACCUUAUUUCUCCACCCUGCAGGUAACUGAAACUCAGUUACUGCUGCCCCUCACUCGGUGCCAUCCCCCUGAGUUUAGAUAGCUCUGGUGCCUCUCAGAACUCCCCUGUCUGUUCUCUUUGCUCUACCCCAGGGGCGACCCUGCGGAGCCAGCCCACUACCCCUUCUUUCCAGAACUCACUUAUCUGAACAUUUCAGCUCUCCGUGGAAGACCUGCGCUGGUCUCUGGAGCCCCCAUGCUGAGGCUUUUAAGGAGGAACUGGCCUGAAGCACCCCACGCCUUGGGGUUUAUUUGAAUACGUUGGCUCUCAGUUUAGGGCUGUGUAGAAGAAACAUAAUGAAAUUCCUCUUGAAAUGAAUUACUGUAGUGGAAAAAUUACAUAUAUUUUAAAAUGAAAUACCUCUAUAUAGACCUUCUUAAACCAUUAUGUAAAUGAUACUUGCUUUUUUAAGAG